rnacentral:rRNA from 1 species
GACAGAGGAUGCAAGCGUUAUCCGGAAUGAUUGGGCGUAAAGCGUCUGUAGGUGGCUUUUUAAGUCCGCCGUCAAAUCCCAGGGCUCAACCCUGGACAGGCGGUGGAACUACCAAGCUGGAGUACGGGUAGGGGCAGAGGGAAUUUCCGGUGGAGCGGUGAAAUGCGUGAGAGAUCGGAAAGAACACCAACGGGCGAAAG